rnacentral:piRNA from 1 species
UAGAUGCAUGAUUCACACAGAUUAGGCUUCU